GCUCCGGUGGCCAAGUUGGAUUAAGGCAUGUGGCUUAUGUUUCUCAGGCGACCGUGCAGUUGCUCUCAGAGAUCAUUGGGUUUUAUCGCAGAAAGCAAUUUCUACUAAACCGCGAGAUCGUGGGUUCGAGUCCCACCCGGAGCA